AAUCUGCCUUUAGGACGGGGACAACAGUUGGAAACGGCUGCUAAAACCCGAUGUGCCCUUCGGGGUGAAAUAUUUAUAGCCUGAAGAUGAGCUCGCGUCUGAUUAGCUAGUAGGUGAGGUAAUGGCUCACCUAGGCGACGAUCAGUAACUGGUCUGAGAGGAUGACCAGUCACACUGGGACUGAGACACGGCCCAGACUCCUACGGGAGGCAGCAGUGGGGAAUUUUCCGCAAUGGGCGCAAGCCUGACGGAGCAAUACCGCGUGAGG
rnacentral:rRNA from 1 species